CUCCCAUUCACGUCUAGCUUGCCUUUUUUCAGUUACAAGCAUUUCUAUUUCAACAUUUGUGAUUCUUCUAAGACCAGGCGCGACUGCAUUCUGAGGCCCAAAAUAAUGUGGAUGCAGCAGAACUGCAUGUUCAAGUGAUGAUCAUCUAUAAAUAAAGUUCUUAAAUUUAUUUAUUUAUGCCUUAUUCAAUAGUUAUUUAUGAAUGAUUCCCAUAUCAAAUUGUUGGUCGACUGUCUAUCAGUAAUAAUGAAAGCUUUAUUUAUGAAAAACAAAACAUCAAUUAGAAUGCUUACCUUUAUGGAUGUUUCGAAGUCGUGUUUUAUCUAUGGAGACAUUUAAGGAAAUAAUUUUUCAUUGAAAUAAUUAUUAAAAAAGAGCAGGAUAGCCCAUUUAAUUAAAAUUAGCAUUACACGUGUUGAGAAACAGCGGAAAAAGUUUGAUUUCAUCUGUGAUUAUCUUUGGUGCAAAUCCUCUCAACUUGACAUUUAACUAGAUUGCGAAGGUUUUGACGUUUUGCAAUUGAAACGACUGGAACGGCUAGAUUGAAAUUCUACCAAAUAUAUAUGUGAACAUAGAGAUUUGUUGCCGCCGUUCACGAUCACUAAUAAAAAAUGUAAUACAGUGAAAAUGAAAGAAAACCACAAAUUUGUUGUAAAUUAUAAAUUAUAGUAUGCUUUUUCAAUGACUACAAUGCAAAAUGUUAAUAAAAAACUAAUUUUCAAGCGCUCUUACACUGAAAUAAGUUGGACAUUAUUUUAUCCCUGGUUUUAAUACCAGUAUAGCUGACAACUAUCACGCUGCCUAAAGUUUUGAACUACAAGUAAAUUCUCUUAUGAAUCCAGUUUCUCCGGCACCAUUAAUAUUACCAUUAGCAAAGGCUUUGAAUUCUAUUAAUUUUGAAAAUAUAUGUUUUAAUUUAAAUAACAAUACAAAUAUUGAAACGUCGGAUGAAGAUUUUGUUAAGGCAGCGUCAGAAUGGGUACAUUAAUUCCGUAGCGGAAAAGUACGCAACUGACCACUGAGUUGAAUGUGUGGAUUUAUAUGGAAAGCGGCAGAUUGACAAUACGUACUCUACCGGAGAAGCAUCCUGUAGACCAGCUCUCAACUUUUGCGAACGGCAACGUUUUCAAUUGACAUUUGACAAUGGCAGUUGUAAAGAGCAGCUGUUUUAUGUUUACUUACGCAACGCAUUCGUUAUCGCAUACCUCUACGUUACGUACCCCACUUCAUUCGCAUAAUCAUGCGUCAUUGACAUACA